UACGAAGGGGGCUAGCGUUGCUCGGAAUCACUGGGCGUAAAGCGCACGUAGGCGGAUCUUUAAGUCAGGGGUGAAAUCCUGGAGCUCAACUCCAGAACUGCCUUUGAUACUGGGGAUCUCGGAGUCCGGAAGAGGUGAGUGGAACUCCGAGUGUAGAGGUGAAAUUCGUAGAUAUUCGGAAAGAACACCAGUGGCGAAGGCGGCUCACUGGUCCGGUACUGACGCUGAGGUGCGAAAGCGUGGGGAGCAAACAGG
rnacentral:rRNA from 1 species